rnacentral:tRNA from 1 species
GCCGCAUUCAGCCGAGAAGGCACGUAACAAUUAAUAAUCUAACCCAUUGAUAUUUAUGUAAAAUUUAACUGACUUGUAAUCAGUAGGUCCCGGGUUCGACUCCUGGUGCCGGCACCA